rnacentral:rRNA from 1 species
GGCAAGCGUUAUCCGGAAUUAUUGGGCGUAAAGCGCGCGCAGGUGGUUUCUUAAGUCUGAUGUGAAAGCCCACGGCUCAACCGUGGAGGGUCAUUGGAAACUGGGAGACUUGAGUGCAAAAGAGGAAAGUGGAAUUCCAUGUGUAGCGGUGAAAUGCGUAGAGAUAUGGAGGAACACCAGUGGCGAAGGCGACUUUCUGGUCUGUAACUGACACUGAGGCGCGAGAGCGUGGGGAGCACACAGGAUUAGAUACGCUGGUAGUCCACGCCGUAAACGAUGAGUGCUAAGUGUGAGAGGGUUUCCGCCCUUUAGUGCUGAAGUUAACGCAUUAUUCACUCCGCCUGCGGAGUACGGCCGCGGGGCUGAAACUCACAGAAAUUGACAGCCGCCGCACAAACUAUGGACCAUGUGGGUUGAAUUCAAAGCGACGCCAAGAAACUUACCAGGGCGGGACAUCCUCUCACCACCCUCGGGUUGUGGCUUUGCUCCUUC